rnacentral:rRNA from 1 species
CCUACGGGAGGCAGCAGCAGGGAAUCCUGGGCAAUGGGCGAAAGCCUGACCCAGCGACGCCGCGUGGAGGAAGAAGUCCUUCGGGGCGUAAACUCCUGGACUGGGGGACGAGUAAGGACGGUACCCCAGUAGAAAGGGACGGCUAACUACGUGCCAGCAGCCGCGGUAAU